rnacentral:tRNA from 1 species
CAAGAAAUAGUUUAAUUAGAACUUCAGUUUUGGGUGCUGAUGGUGAGACGGAUUGUCUCUUUCUUGA